UGUAGUGCUUAUAGCGAAGAGGUCACACCCGAUACCAUCCCGAACUCGGAAGUUAAGCUCUUCUGUGCUAAUCAUACUAUACUGGCAACGGUAUGGAAAAGUAGGACGGUGCUACAC
rnacentral:rRNA from 1 species